CUUGGUCCACUUGAGGAGUAAGCAGACUGACAUUUCUUUAUCCCACUGAGGUUACCAAACAUUAUGCGAGGGCCCUAGAUUUUGAGGCAUGUGCUCAAUGUAUGACUAUCUUUUUGACGGAGUUAGCACCAGGUUGUUAGAGAAAAUGGAUUUGUGUAUGAGAUUUUGUGAGAAGAGAGAAGAGAAUUUAAGAAAACUUGAAGAAAUCCAAAACUGCUCUGUUAUACGUGUAGCAGAGAGAACAUUCUCAUUAGCUCAGACUUUCAGUACUACAACACACUCUUAGUGUGAGAAGAAAUAACCGUUAUGCACAGUACCAGCUGGAUGCAUUUUAUCAAAGCAAUCUCAGCCAUUCACUAUCUAACCAAUCAAGCUAUGACACCUGGACUAAGUAUAAAGAAAUACAAAUAAGCAGAAAACAAAACUCUUAAUCCUGAAAUCAACUCAAGCACUUAUAAUUCAACACUCCCCUUUAAGUCUUGAGGUGAUUUCACUCCAAGCAUGCCUCUGAGACAAUUGAAUCUGUCUUUGGCCAGAGGUUUGGUAAAAAUGUCAGCCAAUUGUUCAUUUGUAGGACAAUAUUCCAGAUUGAUUACUCCUUCUUGCAAUGCAUCCUUGAUGAAGUGAUACCUCCUGUCAAUAUGCUUUGUCUUCUGGUGGAAUACAGGGUUUUUAGUGAUUGCAAUUGCUGAGAUAUUAUCACAAUGCAAUGGAGUAGCUUCAGUUUGAAGCUCUCCAAAAUCCUCUAGUACAAAUCGAAGCCAAAUAGCUUAAGUAGUAGCCUCAGCUGCACUGAUGUACUCAGCUUCAGUAGUAGACAGUGCAACACAGUUCUGUUUCACUGAGGCCUAAGAAAAUACUCCACUUCCAAAACUAAAAGCAUACCCUGAUGUGCUCUUGCAAUCACCAACAGAUCCUCCCCAAUCACUGUCACAGUAGCCAAUUAGAAUUGAUCUUUUGCCUUUCACAUAUUCAAGACCAUAGUCCAGAGUUCCUUUGAUGUAUCUCAAAACUCUUUUAGCUGUUCCAUAGUGUCUAUUUGUAGGACAGUGCAUGAAUCUAGCUAGCAAACUUGAGGCAUACAUAAUGUCUGGUCUUGUAGCAGUUAAGUACAGCAAGCUACCAACAAUGCUUCUGUAUUGUUCUUCAUUUGUAGCUCCACUCCCAUCAUCCUUAGCUAGUUUCUUAGUGGCAACAAGGGGUGUUGUCACAGAUUUGCACUCAGUCAAACCAAACUUGCUCAACAAGGUGCUAGCAUAUUUCUUUUGAUGUAGAAAUAUACUAGACUCAGUCUGAAUAACUCUCAUGCCAAGAAAGUGAUGAAGUAAGCCCAAAUCAGUCAUCUCAUACUUAGCCAUCAUGUCUUCUUUGAAUUCAGCAAACAAUGCUUGACUGCUCCCUGUGUACACAAUAUCAUCUACAUAGAUAGACACAAUUAGAAUCUCCUUAUCUCCCCUUACUUUGGUAUACAAGGUUGCUUCACUUAAGCUUUUCACAAAACCACAUUGAGUGAAGUAGCUGUCUAUCUCUCCAUACCAAGCCCUUGGGGCUUGCUUCAGACCAUAAAGAGCUUUAUGCAGACGAUAAACCUUGUCUUCUUUACCUUUAAUUACAAAACCUUCAGACUAAUUGACAUAAACUUCCUCUUGCAGCACACCAUUAAGGAAAGCAGACUUCACAUCAAGCUGGAACAAUUUCCAAUCCUUUUGAGCAGCUAGAGCAAUAAGUGUUCUAAUGGUGUCCAAUCUGGCUACAGGUACAUAAGUCUCAUUAUAAUCCAGUCCAGGCUUCUGAGCAUGCCCCUUAGCCACUAAUCUUGCUUUAUUCUUUUGCACAGAGCCAUCCAAAUUCAGCUUUGUCUUGUACACCCACUUAACUCCAAUCACUGGUUUUUCAGUUGGUCUAUCUACCAAUUCCCAUGUUUCAUUCUUUUUAAUCAUCUGUAGUUCAUCUUCCAUAGCCUUAAGCCAAGAUUCAUCCUGAGCAGCAUCAGCAUAUUUUUUUGGUUCCAUGAUACACAAGUUACACUGAGCUAGAACAUCAUCUAGCCUUCUCCAUUUUAGGGGGGUGUGAUCAUAAGCUUGAGUUCUCCUUUCUUCACUGCUUAUAUCACCUGGAGUUGAUGAAGUGCUCUCUUGCAUAUCCAAAGUUUGAGGUGUACCAGUAGAAUUCUCAUUAGAACUGUCAGAUUUCAAGUCCAAGUCUACUUGGUUUUCAAUUGAGUAUGUUGUCAUAACUGAACCAUUUUUGUCUGUCCAAUGCCAAGCAUUUUCUUCAUCAAAUGUCACAUCCCUUGACAGUAAAAGCUUGUUAGAAACAGGAUCAAAAACUCUAUAUCCUUUUUCACAAGUUGCAUAUCCCACAAACACUCCCUUUGUACUCUUAGGAUCCAGCUUGUGUCUCAAUUCAGUUGGCACAUGAACAUAACACAGAGAACCAAACACUUUCAGAUGUGCAAUUCUAGGCUUCCUUCCACUAUAUGCUUCGAAUGGAGUAAUGUUGUUGAGAGCUUUGGUAGGACAUCUGUUCAGCAAAUAGACAGCUGUAUGCACAGCUUCUGCCCAUAGGAAAUAAGGCAUUCCCUUCUCAUGUAACAUUGAUUUUGCCAUCUCAAUGAUAGUUCUAUUCUUCCUCUCAACUACUCCAUUCUGCUGAGGAGUAUAGGCCAUUGUAAGCUGCCUUUGAAUGCCAUUAGCUUCACAGAACUCCAAAAAAUCAGUAGACAGAAACUCUCCACCCCUGUCACUUCUUAUGCACUGCACCUUGUGUCCAGUUUGUAAUUCAGUCAUGGACUUGAACUUCUUGAAACAAUAGAAGGCUUCUGACUUGUUUCUCAAGAAGUAUACCCAAAUCAUUCUUGUGAAAUCAUCUAUAAUCAGCAUGAAAUAUCUGUUCCUUGCAACAGACUCAUUUCUCAUGGGACCACAGAGAUCCACAUGUACUAGCUCUAGCACUUUGCUUGCUCUUUGAGCUUGAUCUUUUGGAAAAACAUUUCUGUGCUGUUUUCCAAAUUGGCACCCUUCACACACACCACUUUGUUCUUCCAAUUUUGGUAAACCAUGUACCAUUUCUUUAUCCCUUAGCUGCUUCAAUCCUCCAAAAUUCAGAUGACCAAGUCUCUUGUGCCAAAUCCAUGUGGAUUGAAGAAAACUAGUCUUCAUUAGUAACUGUUUUUCAGCUAGAAAAGAGACAGGAUAGCAUAUGUUACUCUUCAUUUGCACCUUUAUGAUGAGAUAAUCCAUGGAUGGGCUAUCAAAUACUCUGUACAUCCCUUCUCCAAACACCAGACAGUACCCAUGUUCAUCCAUCUGCCCAACACUUAGCAGAUUUUCUUUCAAUCCUGGCAGAUACAUUACUUCUCUGAUGUAUUUCCUGCCCUUUACUGUAUCAAUACUCAAUGAGCCAAUACCAGCUACACUCACUAGUGCACCAGUUGGCAUUUGUACUCUCCCAGCUACAUUAGUUCUCACAUCAACCAGCAAUUCUAAAUUUCCUGUCAUAUGAUUGCUGCAGCCACUAUCAAUAUACCAUUCAUUGGUUUUGAUCUCAGUGGUUGAGCAAUUGGCAUAAAACAGUUUUCCUGUAACCUCCAUUUGAUUUACACAAUUAGCCUUCUGCACAUUUUUGCUCACUGUACAGUCUCUAGCAAGAUGUCCAAAUCUGUCACAGUUAUAGCAUUUUGGUUUUCCCUUAUACCUGCACUCACCAAAGUGAUGCUUUGAACACACCUUGCAUUGAGGCUUUGUGUUUUCCUGAUUUGAGAACUGUGUUGAAGUGUGGUUCUGUGCAGAAUAAUUAUUCUGCUGUGACUUGUCUUUUGCCUCCCAUGACUUCCCUUUAGAGUUCCAGCUUCUCUGUGACUUAGAUGAACCAGACUGAGAAGUAUUUUUGUUCUGACCCUUUGAAUUCACAGUGAAUGAGGCAAAUGCCUUCUCAGCUGUAUCAACACUAUGCAUUUCAAGCCUUUGCUCCUGACUCUUCAAAAUGGCAGUUACUUCCUGCAAAUCCACAGUUUCUAGUGUCUUCGUGUUUUCAAUCACAAUGCAUAUAGGGUCAUACUUCUUACUUAGACUAAUUAACACCUUCUGAACCUGCCUCUCAUUUGACAGAACUUCACCAAAUGUUUUCAUUUGAUUAAUCAAUUCAGUUAGUCUAGUAAGAUAUUCCGAUAAGGUUUCACUAUCACGCAUCCUAGUGUAUUCAAAUUCACGUCUAAGGUUUUGAAGCUUUACCGAUCUAACAUGCUCUCCACCAUGAUAUUAUGAGUACAGCAGAUUCCAAGCCAUCUUUGCAGAGUCAUCAUUUGCAAUUCUGGGAAAAAUCUGAUCAGAAACAGCAUUUUGAAUGAUACCCAAGGCCUUCGCAUCCUUCAUGAGAAUCACAGCUGUUUUCUCAUCAACUUCUUCUUCUGAACCAUCCUCAGAUUCCUUCUUCGUCUUUGAAUCUGGGAUUAAAAACCCCUUCUCUACCAAGCCCCAUAAACCAUAUGAUCUGAAUAUGGUUACCAUCUUAAUCCUCCAAAAUUCAUAGUUCUCACCUGAGAAAAUGGGGAUUCUAGCCUCUGAACUUUCAGAUCCAGCCAUUACGAAUUUCAGAUUCACUUGGAAACAAGAUGUUUUCAGAUUCGACCCUUGAUCGAGCUCAAUCAGCUUCGUGAGCUUAGAAUGAGCUCACCUCGAUCGAUUUUCUUCACAGAACAACGCCCAGCUUUAGAUAAUCCAACCUGGCUCUGAGGCCAUGUUAGAGAAAAUGGAUCUGUGUAUGAGAUUUUGUGAGAAGAGAGAAGAGAAUUUAAGAAAACUUGAAGAAAUCCAAAACUGCUCUGCUAUACGUGUAGCAGAGAGAACAUUCUCAUUAGCUCAGACUUUCAGUACUACAACAUACUCUUAGUGUGAGGAGAAAUAACCGUUAUGCACAGUACCAGCUGGAUGCAUUUUAUCAAUGCAAUCUCAGCCGUUCACUAUCUAACCAAUCAAGCUAUGACACCUGGACUAAGUAUAAAGAAAUACAAAUAAACAGAAAACAAAACUCUUAAUCCUGAAAUCAACUCAAGCACUUAUAAUUCAACACAGGUGACACAUUUGGUAUUUUGAAAAGUAAAGAUGAUAUGUAUUUUUCAAGUCAUCGACUGAAACUCGUGUAUAAUUUCAAGUGAUAUUUCUAAAAUUUUAUAUUUGUCGUGAUUAGAAGAGAUGCCAGACUGACUCCUCUCUGCCAUGCAAAGUGAUGUAUCCUCUUAUUAAUCUUUUGAAGUCUUAUCUUCUCACAGAAAAAAGGGAGAACGUAGAAACAAAUUUAAUAAGCUAACUAAUAUUUGACAAAUGAAAGUUUAGCAAGACAAAUAAUUGUACUCAAUAACUAUAGCAGAAAAGUCAAAAAGAUAUAUAUCUAAUAAAUUCUUUAUCAGUUUUUGUGGCUGAAUUCAACAAUUUCAUUAAUAAAAAAAAUGUGUAUAACAUUGUGCCGAUAUUGGAAUGAUGAGUGGUGCAGUGCUCUUCCAUCAAAGAGAACCUCAAGAUCACAUCAACUCACUCUCCUCCGCCACCAAGAACUCCCCACCUCCAGAUUCCGACUCG
rnacentral:lncRNA from 1 species